UACAGAGGUCCCAAGCGUUGUUCGGAUUCACUGGGCGUAAAGGGUGCGUAGGCGGUGAGGUAAGUCUGACGUGAAAUCUCCGGGCUCAACCCGGAAACUGCGUUGGAUACUAUCUCGCUAGAGGAAUGGAGGGGAGACUGGAAUACUUGGUGUAGCAGUGAAAUGCGUAGAUAUCAAGUGGAACACCAGUGGCGAAGGCGAGUCUCUGGACAGUUCCUGACGCUGAGGCACGAAAGCCAGGGGAGCAAACGGG
rnacentral:rRNA from 1 species